rnacentral:rRNA from 1 species
UAGAGUUUGAUCCUGGCUCAGAUUGAACGCUGGCGGCAUGCCUUACACAGCUGACGAGUGGCGAACGGGUGAGUAAUACAUCGGAACGUGCCCAGUCGUGGGGGAUAACUACUCGAAAGAGUAGCUAAUACCGCAUACGAUCUGAGGAUGAAAGCGGGGGACCUUCGGGCCUCGCGCGAUUGGAGCGGCCGAUGGCAGAUUAGGUAGUUGGUGGGAUAAAAGCUUACCAAGCCGACGAUCUGUAGCUGGUCUGAGAGGACGACCAGCCACACUGGGACUGAGACACGGCCCAGACUCCUACGGGAGGCAGCAGUGGGGAAUUUUGGACAAUGGGCGAAAGCCUGAUCCAGCAAUGCCGCGUGCAGGAUGAAGGCCUUCGGGUUGUAAACUGCUUUUGUACGGAACGAAAAAGCUCCUUCUAAUACAGGGGGCCCAUGACGGUACCGUAAGAAUAAGCACCGGCUAACUACGUGCCAGCAGCCGCGGUAAUACGUAGGGUGCGAGCGUUAAUCGGAAUUACUGGGCGUAAAGCGUGCGCAGGCGGUUAUGUAAGACAGAUGUG